ensembl:lncRNA
CCCGCCCGCCGCCUCCUCUCCCCUAUGUCCCUCACAUCCUGUGAGUGUUUCACUCAUUCUGACCAUACAGCGUGAACACACAGGCCUUGUCUACAGCGAGGAGCACAUAUCUAAAUAAUAAUGGUGGUGGUGUGUGUUUGUGACGGCCUUUCUUUUGAGUGCCUCCACCCCCUUGACUGCCUGAUGGGUGGUGAUGGUUCACCUCCAUUUUGAGCGAUCAGUCCCAGUACCACAGGUGGCCUUGUGCUCUCUGCUCUUCUCUGCUCUUCUCUUUCUGCACUGUAAGGAGCUCUCUGUGCCAUGGGGACAUGGGAAGGGAUCGCUUAAUCAGUGACUGGCAAAGUGCACUCGAAAGGAGUCAUGAAGUGUUAAUGAUGGCAAUCUUCCUCACUUGGUGGGUCUUCUCUCUCUCUUUUUCCCUUCCUUCAUCAUCAUCCUCCUUUCCCCUCAGGUCUUUUUUUCUGCUGUGUAGUCACAAUGUCCUUCUCUCUUGGCACGGCCACAUUGGUUUGGUUUCAGCAGAAAACAAUGUGCACGCACAGAUGGUCCUGCAGACCGGACCGGUUCCCCCUGCUUUUUGGGAGAGUGUGAUUUAUGGGCGGUGUGCUAAUGGUUUAUUGUUGACAGCAUUAUGAGCAAAAAUAAUGUCUAGCUUAUUGUUCUGGGUAAAUGAAAAUAACCUAGUGGUGUGAGGUUGUAUUCCACUUUCACUGUUAGAAAUAUUAUUUCUUUAAAACCUAAUGAUUGUAGAUAUUUGUAGUAAAUGAUGCCGUCUAAUGAGAUUCAGAUAGAAUCCUCCAGAACUAUAUUCUGUUAGCAGGAGGUAAACUCAAGCCAAACCAUCUCCCACUUCUUUUCAUUGAGAGAAGUCAGUCAGACUCCAUCUAAUGUCUUAUCACAUUACUCCAGCCAUGAUUGCAUUGCACCUUUAAAGUGUCCCCAAAGCAAACAUUUCAAUGUGCUAUAUCAUUGAUCAGAUUAAAGGUGUAGUGUGUAGGAUUUAUGGGAUCUAUUAGCAGGAAUGGAAUAUAGUAUUCAUAAUUAUGUUUGACGGGUUAGGUGUAUAAAUCACCUGUUACUACAAAUCGUUGUGCUAACUAUCUACAUAGGGAGAGUGGUUGUCUAAUAUGGAUCCCGCCAUGUUGCGUUGUCCAUUCUGGGCGACUAUAGAAACAUGGCAACACUGGCUCUGGAGAGCAUUUCUCUUUUUGACGUUGAAGUGGCAGCUUGAUUGGGUGGAGCCGGUUAGAAGAGGAAUCAUUGUUUGCUGGCCAACCAUUUUGUGUUGUGAAAAAGUUGAGAACCCAAAUUUAUAAAUCUAAGGUAACCUCAUCACUUGACAUUAUGGCUGCUGGAUGCUGUCGUAGAAUGGCUUUACUCCGUGUGUUUCAUCACUUUGCUUUCAAGUGGAAUGAAAUGUAAAUGAAGCUGUGUUCUAGUUUAUAUGAGCAGCAAGUGUUUUAUGGAUAAACUCAGUCGAGACAGUGUUUUGAAACAUAGCAGUACCGCAUGGUGGACUACAUAGGAAGCAGGUCUUCAUUCCAAGCUCACGAAAACCAACCCAACAAAUCGUUUUCUGCAGAUAAUUCUACACUAAUGAAACCAUAUUUCUGAAUACUAUAUACUA